rnacentral:lncRNA from 1 species
GGGGAGGGAGGGUGCGAAGAGGAGCAGGCUGAAAACGCCCAGGGAAGGUGGCGGGAAGGCGCGGGUGGUGGUAAUAAAAGAAAACCAUAUCUGGUGAUUAAAUCAAGGUCAGGCGCCGAACGGUAUCUAACGCCUCUCUUUACCUUUGCAAUGUGAGGAAUCCAGCCCAGGGCUGGUACCAAGCCCUGAACUGCAUCUUGUGCUCCCCCACCCCACCCCACCCCUGAGCCCCAGCAUCUUUUAAGUAUUACUAUUUGUUUUUGAGAUGCCGAGUCACUAUGGCCUUGCUGGUCGACAAUUCAGUGUCGCAGCAGACCUGGAACUCUCAACCUUCUGCCUCAACCCCUUGGAGAAUGGUUGGGGGUUGGGGGGCGGGAGCAGGGAUUUUUGUUUGCAGUCGCCGGUAUUGAACCCAAGGCAUUAUACUUGAUAUCAAGUGUUGUACCUCCAAGCUGCACACCACCAUUCCCCCCACCCUCCCAGCUCACUCCUUACUUUAUUUUUGAAAGAGGGUGUCACCAAAUUCCCCAGAAAGUCUCUGAACAUGUAAUUCUUCUGCCUGACCCUUGUACAGUGGUAGUUAGGGGUUUUUUGUUUGGUUGGUUGGUUGGUUUGGUUUGGUUUGGUUUUUGGUUUUUCGAGACAGGGUUUCUCUGUGUAGCCCUGGCUGUCCUGGAACUCACUUUGUAGACCAGGCUGGUCUCGAACUCAGAAAUCUGCCUGAUUCUGCCUCCCGAGUGCUGCUGGGAUUAAAGGUGUGUGCCACCACGCCUGGCGGUGAUUAGUUUUUUUGGUUAGUUUUUUUGUUCGUUUGUUUGUUUGUUUGUUUUGGUUUUUCGAGACAGGGUUUCUCUGUAUAGCCCUGGCUGUCCUGGAACUCACUUUGUAGACUAGGCUGGCCUCGAACUCAGAAAUCUGUCUGCCUGCUGGGAUUAAAGGCGUGGGCCACCACGCCCGGCUAGUGGUUAGUUUUUUAAGACAGGGUUUCCUGUAGCCCAAAGAGGCUGACAACUGGCUGUGCAGCUGAGGAUUCGUGUAUCUCAGGCAGUCCUCGAACUUCAGUCACUUCCAAAUCCUGAUCUGCCUGCCUGUGCUACCAUACAUGUUCUGUUUGGUUCUAGGAACCAAACCCAGGCCUUCAACUCAUGUCGGGCAAUGACUCUACCAACUGAGUGGCAUCUCCAGCCCCCAUUUAUUGUGAUUCGUGCCGUGCUAACAGAUGAGACUCAAGCACAAACAGGUUACAGAUUUGCCUACAUCUUUACACUCAGGAUUCAAAUUCACAGGCUGCCAUUCUGCAGUUGUCAAUCAAUACAAACUCAGAAAACGGCAAACGAGAGACGCCUUUAUUUGUGAUCUUGGGAACUGCAGACUGCAAGAUAGACUCAGAGGUCUCUGAAUCAGUGUUGGUGAGAAGGCAGGGAGAAUGGAAGUCUGAGUGUGUAAGCAGAAAAAAAAGAGG